rnacentral:rRNA from 1 species
UACGAAGGGUGCAAACGUUGCUCGGAAUUAUUGGGCGUAAAGCGCACGUAGGCGGCUUUGCAAGUCGGAUGUGAAAUCCCUCGGCUUAACCAAGGAAGUGCAUCCGAAACUGCAGAGCUUGAGUACUUAAGAGGAUCGCGGAAUUCCCGGUGUAGAGGUGAAAUUCGUAGAUAUUCGGAAGAACACCAGUGGCGAAGGCGACUUACUGGACACAUAUUGACGCUGAGGUGCGAAAGCGUGGGGAGCAAACAGG